AGGAUAUAAAUAACCUCACCACGCCCCUGGAAUGUGGACGAGAGUCGCGGGUGAAAUUAGAGAAGGCAUGCAUCUGUAUACGCAAAAUUCCAGAAUAAGCAAGCUAACCUAUGAUAAGAAAGAGACUGGCUGGGAAGAGUGAGAGUUCACUUUCUGGGGUGACAUAAUAGUGUAGAUCUUGGCUGGGCACGGUGGUUCACGCCUGUAAUCCCAACACUUUGGGAGGCCAAGGCGGGCGGAUCACCUGAGGUCGGGAGUUCAAAACCAGCCUGACCAACAUGGAGAAACC
rnacentral:lncRNA from 1 species